UAUAAAUUAUAAAAUAAUAGAAUAGAAUAGAUUAACAGAGUUGGAAGGGACCUUGGAGGUCUUCUAGCCCAACCCCCUGCCUAGGCAGGAAAUCCUACACCACUUCAGACAAAUGGCUAUCCAACAUCUUCUUUAAAAUUUCCGGUGUUGGAGCAUUUGCAACUUCUGGAGGCAAGUAGUUCUACUAAUUAAUUGUUCUGUCAGGAAAUUUCUCCUUAGUUCUAAGUUGCUUCUCUCCUUGAUUAGUUUCUACCCAUUGCUUCUUGUCCUACCCUCAGGUGCUUUGUAGAAUAGCUUGACUCCCUCUUCUUUGUGGCAGCUCCUGAGAUAUUAGAACACUGUUAUCAUGUCUCACUUAGUCCUUCUUUUCAUUAAAAUAGACAUACCCAGUUCCUGUUCUUCAUAUGUUUUAGCCUCCAGUGCUCUAAUCAUCUUUGUUGCCCUUCUCUGCACUCUUUCUAGAGUCUCAACAUCUUUACAUCAUAGUGACAAAACUGAAUGCAGUAUUCCAAGUGUGGCCUUACCAAGGCAUUAUAAAGUGGUAUUAAUGUGAUCUUGAUUCUAUCCCUCUGUUAAUGCAGCCUAGAACUAUGUUGGCUUUUUUGGCAGCUGCUGCACACUGCUGGCUCAUAUAUAAAUGGUUGUCCACUAGGACUCCAAGAUCCUUCUCACAGUUACUACUAUUGAGCGAGGUACCUCUUAUACUGUACCUGUGCAUUUUGUUUUUCUUGCCUAAAUGUAUAACCUUACUUUUUUCACCAUUGAAUUUCAUCUUGUUAGAUAGCUCCCAAUGUUCAAGUCUGUCAAGAUCCUUCUGUAUCUUAAGCCUAUCUUUUGGAGUGUUGGCUAUUCCUGCCAGCUUGGUGUCACCUGAAUAAUAACGCAAUGGGUGACACUGCUUUCAUUAUUUUGAUAAAAGCAGCAAACUCUUGGGCACUGCUGCAGACAGAUUUCAACACUUACAGUCCAGGUGUGAACUGAAAAUUGUGCAAAACCAAUAAAUAUACAUAUUCCUCUUCUGCUAACAAGAUAUCACAUCAAAAGUGUUACAAUGUGAAAAUGUUCAAUAAUGAUCAACAGCCUCAAAUGUGGCUUGAAUUGAAUACUUUUUUUCCAUUUGAAGUCUUAUAUUACCACACAUUGAACACAUCUAUAUAUCUUUAAAUUAAAAGUGUAAUUAUUUAAAAAUUAUCAAGAUUAUAAAUAAACCUAGGUUCCUAAAAUAAAGCAAGAAUAGAAAGUGAAAUGAAGUGAAAGGAUACAUGUUUUCUACAAUUUCUUGCUAUAUUGUAAAUGUCAUUUUUACACUACUGUUCUUUACCACAAUUUACCACAAUUAAUAGUUGCUAAGCAAAACAGUUAUUUUUGCCACACUUUACAACCUUUCUUACCACAGAUGUUAAGUGAAUCAUUGUAGUUGUUAAGUUAUUAACACAGUUAAGUAAAUCUGGCUUCCCCACUGUCAGAAGCUCACAGAAGGUCAUAUAUCACCUGACCCUGGGAAACUGCAACCAUCAUAAAUAUGAAACAGUUGCCAAGCCUUCUUAUUUUGAUCAGCAAGGGGAUGCUCAAUGGUUGUACGUGUGAAAAACAGUCAUAAGUAACUUUUUUCAGUUCCCUUGUAACUUUGAACAGUCACUAAAUGAAUGAUUGUAAUUCAAAAACUACCUGUAUUAGACUAGACAAAUUUUACUGACUAUUCCAAUUUGCUGUGGAGACUGAUGCAGUUACUAUUUAUUACCUAUUGUUUAAAGGAGUCAAUUAUACUGAAUCAACAAAAUAGAGCUUGGACAAAAUCAUUUUUCACUUGUCCUGGAACAUGUAGCUGUCAGAGAGUAACAGCGAAGAACCUAAUAUCAAUUUUAGCACUCCAUGUCAGUCUUUAUUAACCUGGUAUUCUUUAGGUGUGUUCAACUAUAUGUCUUAUCAAAGGGAACAUUGCAUGUUGCACUUACAUAAUGACAUUGUGGUAGUAAUGACACCAUGGAAGUGAUAGUUCUAUAUACCUUUCAGGGCAUCAUUUGCAUGAUUAUAAUGGCACCAGCUUCAAACGCUGCUUCAGAAAGUUAUCAGCUACUGCUAUAGUCCCUGAUGUAACACAUUUUUAAUGACCACACAUAAGGCAAGAUAGGAAAUAAUAAAACAAAGAAGUGGGAUGUCUAUGGACAUCCAAGUCACGGUUAUCCCAAAGGUGUUGGGGGUUUUUCCCCAAAAAAGGCAGCUCGACUUUCUUGGGCGUUUUUUUUCUGAAAAUGUUUCACAUCUCAUCCAAGAAGCUUCUUAAGUUCUGAAAAAGGAGGAUGAUGUUUGGGAAGUACUGCAGGUGACAAAGUCAUUGACAUGACCAAACUUCACUGAAAUCAAUUCAGGGCAUAAAUAAACACAAGCAUAGCAGAGAGAAGAAAAGAAGAUGCAGUAAGCAUAAUUUAUCUUUUCUAUUAUUCUAGAAUGUUAAUGUUGGUAUUUAAGCAGGAUUAAAUAUGUCCUUAUAAAUGACAUAUAACCAUGAGAUCAGGCUGCCCCCAAACUGCUGGCACCUGGUUUUUUUUUCUCACUUGUUCUUUUCAAGGCCUCUCCUCAGCAUCAGCAAGGCAAAGUGAACUAUAAAAGCCUGCUGCAAAACAGCUGGGGAAGUAUUGGAGUAGCGGUAACUGUGAGUAGACUGUGGAAGAGAGAGUGUAGAACUAAGUAAUAUGCUUUGUGUGUUUUUUUGUUGGCUCUUUUGUGUCUUAAGCCUACCAAAUUGGUAAUAGUUUAAAAGAACUCAACUCAUAUUCUUUUUAUUUAAAAAAAGUAAAAAAAUUCUUUUAUUAAUGCAUUUAGAGUUGGAUAAGAAGAGACAGAUCUUUAAUAUUAAAACAAACCUGAAAAAAGUGGUAGUCUUGUAAAAGAGCAUACAAUAACUGGGGAAAGCUUGUAGUUUAUAGAUUUUGGUGGUGGGCAAGGGAUGAGUUCAAAAGUUUUAUUUUUAUAAGCUACGCUUUUAUCAGUCUGAAAUUGAAACAUGCCAGUGGAUAAACACAAAAUAAGCUGAAUUGCUUAUUAGUACCUUAUGCUGGAUGCACAGAAAAUUUAAAUCUUUGAGGCUAUUAUUCAUAGCUCAGACAUUUAUAUUUAUGAUUGUCUUUCUAAUCCAGGUCAAAAUACCCUCAACUGUACUUCUGAGAUCAAAAAUUUGUUUCCGUUUGCUAUCAUUCUGCCUCCAGGAGGCAUCAAGCUAGAUGUGUGAUGCCGGCAGGGAUAUUCUGGGGGUUGAAGUCCACAUAUCUUCAAACUGCUAAAGUUGAGAAAUACUGGUUUAAGAGAUCAUCUCAGUUUGACAUUGAUUAGCCUGAGAAACUUCACUCAUUCUGCCAUUCCAGGGCUACAAACAGAAUACAUUAAAGUCAUGUUAAAGUAUCAAUGUUAACAUGUUAAGAAACAAACAAAAUCCUAGAACUGCAACUCCUGUUCCCUCUCUUAAAGUCUCUACUUGAACAUGUUUAAUGCUAAACUAUAAUUUCCCUUCCAGAAGGCAGAAAAGUAUAUCUCUACCCUUGCCCCAAACAGAUAUGAAAAAUAUUUACAUAUGAAAAUAAGCUAAAGAAAUAUAGCUAUCCAUAUUCUUCUCUUCAAUUUUUGGGGCUUUCUUUAAUUAUUCCCAUAAGCUUUCACGUGCAUUUUAUUAUCAAUAUUUGUUAUACCUGCCUUUUAGUGAGUCCAAAUACAACUUCUCUUCAAUUUACAAGGAAGAGGAAAAGAGAAGAGAACCAAUUUGUCAACUGCAACUUUCAACAUCCAAUUAAAUUGACAAAAGAUAAUUUUUUACCCUACUCUCUGUUAUAGCUAUCUUUGCCAGUUAUUUAAAAUGUUAGAGCUUGCUGAAUUUUUACUUACUGCUGACCAACGCUUGUCAAAUUGCUUUUUUAUAUGAACCAAUCACUUUUUUGAAGAAGAAAAGGGCGGGUUCCACUCGAGGGCUCACCUACACCUGCCUCCUAGUUGUUUUCCCAAGAAGUACCCAGCACAGUUUCCACCGCUGAAGAAAGUGAGUCGGGCGGGUUAGAUUGUACGACGUUGCAUUUAAAAAUAAUGGACAGAAGUAUUUUCGUGACUAUACACUCCUUCCCCCCCUCCCCAGCUGCCAUCCGUCGACUCUAGAGGCUGUUCGGGGUAAGUUAGCUUCUUCUACGGUGCGACCUUACACGGUUCACCUGAUAAAGUUGAUCUCUCCCAUUUGGAGCGGGCGGGCGCUUCAAGACAGCUGAUUCUGAGACAGCCUGUUGCUGAGGUAGCGAGGUUCUCAGGAAAGGCAGGUAACUACAAUCCCUCCGCGGGACGCGGAGAUGAUGGUCUGAGGGUUUAUUCCCAUUCACUUAGUGACCCAGCAAGACCGAGCGUGUGAGUUCCAAGGGGAACAGGUGAGAGCCAGCUUUGCCUUCCCUUCUUGCCCACAGGCAGCUCCCACAGGUGUUACCCGAGAGAAGCGCCCUGCUUCCAUCUCACGCUCUCGCUUCCCGGAAAAGAGGAAAGGGGGGGGUCUGUCGAGCGGCACUCACCUAUCUCGCGGCGCCGAGUGUGUGCCGGUCCUAACACCCUCCCCCCUGCCUUCCACCAGCGCCUUGUACUAAAGUCGCGGGAGGUGGAGGGUGGUAUUGGUGCUCAGUGAAAGGAAGAGUCUCUUUGCGGCUCGGUUGCGCUGCAUGAGCUAAAACAGAGGUGGCUUUCAGCUCCGCGCUCUUGAAUAGUCCUGCCAGUAGAAGAGGAUUUCCGUCUGGUGUUUUCAAGAAUCCCUGCGGAUUUGCGCCUCACCGGUGGGUUCUUUAAUCCUAUAUGCGUCUCUUCGUAAAACAAUCCCCAGAACUCAAGAGAAAAUCUCCUUAAAUAUCUUUGGAUUUACUUCUGAACACAGAUCCAUGGAGCUGCACUUCAAAUCUCAUGGGAGUUAAAGCAAUCCCCAUGAAAUAUGUACAUCAGCUUCCCCCACUACCUUUUCAAUUGUUCUGAAACAUGCCUGCCCUCUUUGACUUUUACCAUUCCUCAACAGCCUUCUUGCACAUACAACAAGCAAGCAGGAAUACCACAGGACUCUUUUCUUCCCAGACUAUCCUGAAGGACCCAGCAGAAAAGUAUAGUGGCAUGGACACAGCCCUUCUUGAACAAAACUGAUACUGAAAAAGUCUGCACCACGCUUGAGAAAAAUAAAGUCCUUGAAAGAAAUUCGGACUGCCCCUUGCCCCCCUAACAGAGAAGGAAAGACCCGGACGCUUUCUAGUUUCAGAAUAUGGCAGAGAGCAGUAGUGCCGCCAAAGCCCCUUCGGGGGGGGGCCGGGGCCAAAAGCUCCCCG